rnacentral:rRNA from 1 species
AUUGAACGCUGGCGGCAUGCUUUACACAUGCAAGUCGAACGGUAACAGGCCGCAAGGUGCUGACGAGUGGCGAACGGGUGAGUAAUGCAUCGGAACGUGCCCAGUCGUGGGGGAUAACGCAGCGAAAGCUGUGCUAAUACCGCAUACGAUCUAUGGAUGAAAGCGGGGGACCGUAAGGCCUCGCGCGAUUGGAACGGCCGAUGUCAGAUUAGGUAGUUGGUGGGGUAAAGGCCUACCAAGCCGACGAUCUGUAGCUGGUCUGAGAGAACGACCAGCCACACUGGGACUGAGACACGGCCCAGACUCCUACGGGAGGCAGCAGUGGGGAAUUUUGGACAAUGGGCGCAAGCCUGAUCCAGCAAUGCCGCGUGCAGGAAGAAGGCCUUCGGGUUGUAAACUGCUUUUGUACGGAACGAAACGGUCUGGGUUAAUACCCUGGGCUAAUGACGGUACCGUAAGAGUAAGCACCGGCUAACUACGUGCCAGCCGCCGCCGUAACAC